GUUUGUUUGUUUAUUUCUAAUGUCCUGAACUCAUUCUUUGAACUGUCAUAUAGAUUAAUGGGUUUCUCAAAUUACUGGAUAACUAAGAAAUAAACAGGCAGAACAGUGGUGCUGAGCAUGACUAAAGCAUCUCUGCAUUCACAGGGAGAGGAACUGAAGACCUUCUGGCAUGGGCUGGGUGGCAGUUCAGUUGCAGGAGAAACAGCUCGAGUGUGGAGAGGUGGCCAUCCUCCACUGGAUGCUUUCUAAGGAGCCCCAGAAAUCAACAUAGAGCUUCUUCUAUCUGAUUCUCUCCCAAAUGUAAACCUUCCAUGAGUCAAGCUUUGUGUCAGAAGGACAAAUUGAAAGGCAAGAAAAUAAGAUCACCAGGACUUUUGGUGAGAAAAAAAAAAAAAACUAAUUCCAGAUUAUUUCAGGAAACCCCACAUUUUGCCCAAAUCUCUAUUGUGUUGAGGACAAUGUUUAAAAGUUGCUCCUGUACUCAGAGUAGUAUGAUUAGGAAAAUCAACAAUGUAAUUUUUUUGAACGGAAAUAGGUUUUCAAGGUUUAUUCUUCAAUUGUGAAAAGGUUUUCUAAAGUCAAACUAUUCCUGUCCAUGAUCCCAGUUAAUCCAGAUCCUCCUCAGUGAGGUUUAUCAAAUUACUCACCUUCCUGAAUCUCUUAUAAAGUUUUGUUACAGAACCUGAGAUUUUUCAUAAGGUCUUGUGUACCAUGUCAUGCCUGUGAAUUGCUUUUUUUGCUAUAUUUUUAUUUUUUUGUAAGAAGUAGCCAGCAAGUAUCUUUCUUUGCUUUAGACAUAUAAACUGCUUUGAAUUUUUCAGAUUAACUUGCAAGAAUGUGGAAAAUGCUUUGCACACUGUUCUUUACUGGCUUCCUGCCUCUCAGGACCUGUAAAAGGUACCCCUCAGCCCAAUGGACAGAUGCCCCAGGCUGCACAUUCUGUCAGUGCUGUUCUCCAAGAGGCCCAGACACGUACUGAAACAUGGAAGGUGAGGCCAGCAAGCAGCUGACACACAUUCCACCCAGCCGGCCCCCAUAAGCCCAUGUUCUAAACCAUUCACAUUGUUCCAAUAACUGCGCUUUU